GUAAUGGUUCCUUUAGGAACCAUUGAGCAUAAAGUUUACAAAACUUU
rfam:Camelus ferus unplaced genomic scaffold scaffold627, whole genome shotgun sequence.